rfam:Triticum aestivum genome assembly, contig: Triticum_aestivum_CS42_TGACv1_scaffold_404507_5BL
UACGUACUCCCUCCGUUCCGAAUUACUUGUCUUUGAUUUGUCUAGAUACGGAUGUAUCUAGUACUAAAAUGAGGCUAGAUACAUCUGUAUCUAGACAAAUCUAAGACAAGUAAUUCAGAACGGAGGGAGUAUGAG